rnacentral:rRNA from 1 species
CCCCSAGACCGYGGCCUUCCCAGAGCGGGUGCGAGGCCCAUAGCCGCGGGGUCCGUCUCGGAUGCGAUCUCCUGGGAGUCGGGUUGCUUGGGAGUGCAGCCCUAAUCGGGUGGUAAACUCCACCUAAGGCUAAAUACCGCCGUGAGACCGAUAGCAAACAAGUACCGUGAGGGAAAGUUGCAAAGAACUUUGAAGAGAGAGUUCAAGAGUACGUGAAACUGCUCAGAGGUAAACGGGUGGGCCCUCGAAAUCCUGUGGAGGGAGGAUUCAGUCUGUAGUUGCCGUUGGGCUGGUCGGAAACGAAGGAAGGGCUUCCCAUUAACGGGGCCGUCCGACCGCCAGCUUCGGUCAGGACAGACGCAUUUGUCUCCCUCUCCGAGGACGCCGCAGCCCGCGGGGAAGUGCAAACGUGACGGUCUUGAGGUCGGGAGAUGGCAGGUGGCCGCUGAAUGAUCUAGUGUUGUUCGGCGGUUGUUAGCCGUCCCGUCAGUGACUCGUCUCCCCGCGGAGGUAUCAUGACGUCCUACGGGGCGUCUGACGUCUCCUCCUCAACGGAUAGCUGGACGUGCAGUGGCGAGCAAAGGCAACCGUGCGGCCGCACCACGCCGUGGUGGGCCUGCGUCAGGUCGGUGCCGUCGGCCGCUGAGGACCAGUGCGAGGUUGGAGGCUAGCGGCGAGUAGGUCGGUCACCCACCCGACCCGUCUUGAAACACGGACCAAGGAGUCUAACAUGUGCGCGAGUCAAUGGGUCUUGAACAAGCCCAGAGGCGCAAUGAAAGUAAAGGCGAGGCACUAGCCCGCCGAGUCGGGAUCCUA